UACGUAGGCAGCGAGCGUUGUUCGGAGUUACUGGGCGUAAAGGGUGUGUAGGCGGUUCUCUAAGGUUGGGGUGAAAUCUCCCGGCUCAACCGGGAGGGUGCGCCGAAAACUGGGGGACUAGAGUGCGGGAUGGGAGAGUAGAAUUCCUGGUGUAGCGGUGAAAUGCGUAGAUAUCAGGAGGAAUACCGGUGGUGUAGACGGCUCUCUGGACCGCAACUGACGCUGAGACACGAAAGCGUGGGUAGCAAACAGG
rnacentral:rRNA from 1 species